GAUGAUGGCGUGUCAGCGGCAGGGGUAAUACGGAGGGUGCUAGCGUUAUCCUGAUUGAUUGGGUUUAAAGUGUGCGUAGGUGGUUUGAUAAGUCAGCGGUGAAAGUUUGCAGCUUAACUGUAAAAAUGCCGUUGAAACUGUCGGACUUGAGUGUAAAUGAGGUAGGCGGAAUGCGUGGUGUAGCGGUGAAAUGCAUAGAUAUCACGCAGAACUCCGAUUGCGAAGGCAGCUUACUAAGCUACAACUGACACUGAAGCACGAAAGCGUGGGGAUCAAACAGGAUUAGAUACCCGUGUAGUC
rnacentral:rRNA from 1 species